rnacentral:rRNA from 1 species
CUCCAAGGCUAAAUACUACCUAGUGACCGAUAGCGUAUAGUACCGUGAGGAAAAGGUGAAAAGAACCCCGGGAGGGGAGUGAAAUAGAACCUGAAACCCUGCACUUACAAGCUGUGGAAGCACAUUUCUUGUGUGACCGCGUACUUUUUGUAGAACGGGCCAACGAGUUACGUUAAGUAGCAAGGUUAAGCACUUAAGGUGUGGAGCCGUAGCGAAAGCGAGUUUUAACUGAGCGUUCAGUUACUUGACGUAGACCCGAAACCGGGCGACCUACCCAUGAGCAGGAUGAAGCGAAAGUAAAAUUUCGUGGAGGUCCGAACCCACGAGCGUUGAAAAGCUCGGGGAUGACUUGUGGGUAGCGGUGAAAUUCCAAUCGAGCCCGGAGAUAGCUGGUUCUCCCCGAAAUAGCUUUAGGGCUAGCCUCAAGGUGAGAGAUACGGAGGUAGAGCACUGAAUGUCCUAGGGGGUAUUGCACCUACCGAAGACUAUCAAACUCCGAAUGCCGUCAUCUUAUACUUGGGAGUCAGACUGUGGGUGAUAAGAUUCAUAGUCGAAAGGGCAACAGCCCAGAUCGUCAGCUAAGGUCCCUAAAUGUAAGUUAAGUGGUAAAGGAUGUGGGAUUGCACAGACAACCAGGAUGUUGGCUUAGAAGCAGCCACUCAUUCAAAGAGUGCGUAAUAGCUCACUGGUCGAGUGAUCCUGCGCCGAAGAUUUCCGGGGCUAAAACUUACUACCGAAGCUACGGCAUCAGUAAUGAUGGGUAGGGGAGCUUCCCAUACGGGUUGAAGCAUGACCGUAAGGACAUGUGGACAGUAUGGGAGUGAGAAUGUUGGCAUGAGUAGCGAGAUGUGGGUGAGAAUCCCACAGGCCGUAAACCCAAGGUUUCCAGGGGAAGGUUCGUCCGCCCUGGGUUAGUCGGGACCUAAGCUGAGGCCGAAAGGCGUAGGUGAUGGACAACAGGUUGAUAUUCCUGUACUACCGAUAACCGUUUGAGAGAAGGGAUGACACAGUAGGAUAAGCUAAGCACACUGUUGGUUAUGUGUGCCCAAGCAUUGAGGCAGUCAAAGUAGGCAAAUCCGCUUUGAUAAUGCUAGGAUGUGAUGGGGAGCGAAAUUUAGUAGCGAAGUAGCUGAUUUCACACUGUCAAGAAAAGUCUCUAUCGAGGUUAAAGGUACCCGUACCGCAAACCGACACAGGUGGGUGAGGAGAGUAUCCUAAGGCCAGCGAGAGAACUGUUGUUAAGGAACUCGGCAAAAUGACCCCGUAACUUAGGGAUAAGGGGUGCCACCAUCAGGUGGCCGCAGAGAAUAGGCCCAAGCGACUGUUUACCAAAAACAUAGGUUUCUGCUAAGUCGCAAGACGAUGUAUAGGAGCUGACGCCUGCCCGGUGCUGGAAGGUUAAGGGGAUCUGUUAGAGCAAUCGAAGCAGUGAACUUAAGCCCCAGUAAACGGCGGCCGUAACUAUAACGGUCCUAAGGUAGCGAAAUUCCUUGUCGGGUAAGUUCCGACCCGCACGAAAGGCGUAACGAUUUGGGCACUGUCUCAACAACAGACUCGGUGAAAUUGUAAUUCCGGUGAAGAUGCCGGAUACCUGCGACAGGACGGAAAGACCCCAUGGAGCUUUACUGUAGCUUGACAUUGGGUCUUGGUACUACAUGUACAGGAUAGGUGGGAGGCUUUGAAACCAGGACGCCAGUUUUGGCGGAGCCAUCCUUGGGAUACCACCCUUGUAGUACUGGGACUCUAACCAUAGGCCAUGAAUCUGGUCUUGGGACACUGUCAGGUGGGCAGUUUGACUGGGGCGGUCGCCUCCCAAAAGGUAACGGAGGCGCUCAAAGGUUCUCUCAGUACGGUCGGAAAUCGUACGUAGAGUGUAAAGGCAAAAGAGAGCUUGAUUGCAAGACAUACAGGUCGAGCAAGGAUGAAAAUCGGACUUAGUGAUCCGGUGGUUCUGCGUGGAAGGGCCAUCGCUCAACGGAUAAAAGCUACCCUGGGGAUAACAGGCUUAUCUCCCCCAAGAGUCCACAUCGACGGGGAGGUUUGGCACCUCGAUGUCGGCUCAUCACAUCCUGGGGCUGUAGUAGGUCCCAAGGGUUGGGCUGUUCGCCCAUUAAAGUGGUACGCGAGCUGGG